GACGGUAACAGCCCGGUAGUUGAAAUGGCUUUCCCUCCAGAGUGGAUCCUGAGUACGGCGGAACACGUGAAAUUCCGUCGGAAUCCGGGAGGACCAUCUCCCAAGGCUAAAUACUCCCUAGUGACCGAUAGUGAACCAGUACCGUGAGGGAAAGGUGAAAAGCACCCCGGAAGGGGAGUGAAACAGUUCCUGAAACCGUGUGCCUACAAGUAGUUAGAGCCCGUUAAUGGGUGAUAGCGUGCCUUUUGUAGAAUGAACCGGCGAGUUACGAUUUGUUGCAAGGUUAAGCGGAAAAAGCGGAGCCGUAGCGAAAGCGAGUCUGAAUAGGGCGCAUAAGUAACAGGUCGUAGACCCGAAACCAGGUGAUCUACCCAUGUCCAGGAUGAAGGUAAGGUAAUACUUACUGGAGGUCCGAACCCACGCACGUUGAAAAGUGCGGGGAUGAGGUGUGGGUAGCGGAGAAAUUCCAAUCGAACUUGGAGAUAGCUGGUUCUCUCCGAAAUAGCUUUAGGGCUAGCCUCGAGGUAAAGAGUCAUGGAGGUAGAGCACUGUUUGGACUAGGGGCCCUUCUCGGGUUACCGAAUUCAGAUAAACUCCGAAUGCCAUGUACUUAUACUCGGGAGUCAGACUGCGAGUGAUAAGAUCCGUAGUCGAAAGGGAAACAGCCCAGACCACCAGUUAAGGUCCCCAAAUAUAUGUUAAGUGGAAAAGGAUGUGGGGUUGCUUAGACAACCAGGAUGUUGGCUUAGAAGCAGCCACCAUUGAAAGAGUGCGUAAUAGCUCACUGGUCGAGUGACCCCGCGCCGAAAAUGUACCGGGGCUAAACAUAUUACCGAAACUGUGGAUGAACCUCUUUAGAGGUUCGUGGUAGGAGAGCGUUCUAAGGGCGGUGAAGUCAGACCGGAAGGACUGGUGGAGCGCUUAGAAGUGAGAAUGCCGGUAUGAGUAGCGAAAGAAGGGUGAGAAUCCCUUCCACCGAAUAUCUAAGGUUUCCUGAGGAAGGCUCGUCCGCUCAGGGUUAGUCGGGACCUAAGCCGAGGCCGAUAGGCGUAGGCGAUGGACAACAGGUAGAGAUUCCUGUACCAGUGCUAAUUGUUUAACCGAUGGGGUGACACAGAAGGAUAGGGAAUCGCACGAAUGGAAAUGUGCGUCCAAGCAGUGAGUGUGAG
rnacentral:rRNA from 1 species